UCUUCAGAUGAGAUCCCAAGCCUUCUGGCGAUCUGUUCUCCCAAGCCUUUAAAUGGUUUUGAAAGAUUUUUUGUUUUUUGUCAGAUUAUGCCGGGAAGGGUUUUCCGGUUUACCCCGGAGGGCUUGUAGCUCAGUUGGUUAGAGCGCGCGCUUGAUAAGCGUGAGGUCGGAGGUUCAAGUCCUCCCAGGCCCACCAAUUUAUGCUUGCUUAUGGGAAUUGUUUGUUCUGUGGAAUUUUUUUAAGCCUUUCAAGCAGUUGAUAUUCUUUUAGGGGCCGUAGCUCAGCUGGGAGAGCACCUGCUUUGCAAGCAGGGG
rnacentral:misc_RNA from 2 species